rnacentral:lncRNA from 1 species
CCCCCCAACUGCGCUGCGUGGCCCCGCUGAGGCACGAGGUGGGGGCUCGGGGGGGGGUGUCCCCCGGAUUUGGGGUCCUCCCUUGGCCCCCUUUUUGUCUCUGCAGGGAGCUUUUGGGGUGCGGGGCCUGAAGGGCAGCAAAGGGGAGAAGGGUGAAGAUGGAUUCCCUGGCUUCAAGGGCGACAUGGGUCCCAAGGGCGACAGGGGUGACCAAGGCUCGUUGGGACCCCGUGGCGAGGACGGCCCCGAGGGGCUAAAGGGGCAAACGGGUCCCAUGGGGGAACCGGGUGCUGCUGGCCCCGCGGGGGAGAAGGUGAGCACCGUCCCCGUGCCCCCCAUGUCCCCAUGUCCCCAUCCCCGUGUCCCCAUCCCCAUGUCCCCACGCCCCCCCCGUAGCCCACACCUCAACCCUUCUCUCUCCUUUAUAGGGCAAACUGGGGGUGCCGGGUCUCCCGGGCUACCCCGGGCGCCAGGGCCCUAA